AUUACUUCCUAUUACGUCUUACUUAUGCUUUUAAUUUCGCUUUGCUCCCAGGGAGCGCAAGUACGUUCACGUUUGCUAACUUCAUAAGCCUUGAUCAGUAGGCCUACUGAUUCUACUUGAGUUCACGAAGAAAACAGUCCAUCGAAGCUUUCUUUGUUAAAAGGGAAUGGAAGUGGUCUCGUCGUUCAACUGCCAAACACUCCUUCGGUCUGAAUUCAAUCGUCUGGCAACCAACCUAUCUCAGAAUGUACAGGAUGAGAAGACAGUAAGGUCGUUAAAAGCUUUCUGGGCUGAAGUCAUUCCCAAAAGUAAACUCGAUUGUGUCCUCGACGUUCGUGAGCUGUUAUUGAUUUUGUUGGAAGCCGGUCAUGUAUCACUUACCGAUCUUGAUGUAGUCAAAAGACAACUGUCCAUGCUAGGGCUGUGCAGCAUGGUUCAAAUGUGCUUGCAGUAUGAAGCCAAUGUCCAGAGAAUAGCUUUCCCUACCACUUCAAACAGCCCUCUUCCAGGAACUGAGAAUGAGACAAAGGCAUACAGUCCGGAUGGAUAUGUUGACGCCCACUUUCCAGUGAUGGAGUCAAAUGCUCUCCACAGUUCACAUUCAAAGGAGGGUGCUGCUUGUCAUCAUAAUGAACCAGAAGAGUGUGAUGAGCAGCAGUUCUGCACACAAUUAAGUGGGCUAAUGCGAAACACAGCCCCCACAUUGUCCUCUGUAUCACAGAAUGGAACAGAAACUCAUUUUCUGCCAGGAGAUACCCAGUUAUCCUGCUCAUUGACCACACAGACUUCUAACCAGACCUGGAAUCCAGAAACUGAAGUUGGAGUUCUUGACACUUCUGUGGUACCGAACUAUACUUCAGCUGCCCACCAUGAGUCUAUUCCCAGCAUGUCUUAUCCUUUAACAACAGUUGGUAAUUCAUUGUGGAAAUCAUAUGUUCUGCAAGAAUUUGACAAACUGCAGGAUUUUUCACCGGAAGAAGUACAAGCAUUACAGCGUAUAAUGGGCUUGGAUUGCACAUGGCAGAAUGUGGUCAGAGGUGUUGGUGUACGUGAAUUUUUAGUGUCUUACUACAAUAGUCCUCACCUUAGACAGCUAUGUGAAGAGAUGAAGAACUUAAAACGUGAUGAUGUAGUCAUUGCACUACAUUGUCAGAAGUCAAUUCUGCCUCAGCUUGGACCAAAGCAAAAGGAAGAGCUGAAAAUUGGGGAAAUGAAGUUUACAGUGUGGCAUGUAUUUACUAUGGCCUUGAGUGUUGAGCAUGAGCAAGCAGGUCUAGACUGGAGGUGGCUGGCAGAGAAGUUGGAUAUUCCUCAGUUCUGUACACAGCUUUGGAGACAGAAAAGCAAAAAUCCUGCAGAGGAUGUGCUGAAUUCCUGGAAAAAUAAAAUUAGCGAAGCCACAGUAGGGAAGCUCUUCGAUUACAUGAUCAGUAUGAAACGUGAGGAUUUGGCAGACCUUCUUUAAAGGUGAUAGUUUCUGGAAGAAACUUGAAUUUUUCACAUACGCAGAAGGCUUUCAUAUCUGGUGAUGAACUCCAAGCUAACAUCUGCUUUCCAAUGUCAGACUUGAACAGUUGUGGGGCCCAGUACAGAAUUCCCUUUCCUGUGUGAUCUGAAACUAGUAAAAUAACCCUGGAAUGCAUGAGAGGUAACAAGAACUUUACAGUCACUGGGGCUAUCAGUUUCAGCAGGAGAAUCAAGAAAUGCAAUCUUGUCAUGUAUUAAGUAGAAAAUUACAUGGGAGAUGUUGGUGGGGGUCAGGCAAUGCUUUGAUUUUGUAGCAGAUUACAUUCAGUGGCCUACUUUAGACCUUUUCAGUUCCAUGAUGCCACAGGAGCCAGGGGAGUCACAAAAAGCUCAGGACUUAGGAUCAAUGGAAGAAGAACAAAUUUGUACAAUAGAAGAAAUAGAAGACACCAGUAUACCCCCUGCAAAAGAAGAUGAGGAAAUUGACAGCACUAUCCCCCCUGCAACAGAAGAUGAAAAAGAAGGCAACAGUAGCAUCCCUGCAACAGAAGACAAAAAAGAAGACACCAGUAUUCCCCCUGCAAUAGAAGAUGAAGUAGAAGACAUCAGUAUUCCCUCCGAAGCAGAUCAACCAGUGGCCAUCAAAACAUCAGACAGUGUUAAUGACGACACAAUUCCAACACCCAGUAUUCCAGUUACACCCACCAAAGCAGUUAUUCCUGUUAAGAUAUA